rnacentral:rRNA from 1 species
AACGAACGCUGGCGGCAGGCUUAACACAUGCAAGUCGAACGCAUCCUUCGGGGUGAGUGGCAGACGGGUGAGUAACGCGUGGGAACGUGCCCUUCAGUUCGGGAUAACCCAGGGAAACUUGGGCUAAUACCGGAUACGUGCGAGAGCAGAAAGAUUUAUCGCUGAAGGAUCGGCCCGCGUCUGAUUAGCUAGUUGGUGGGGUAAUGGCCCACCAAGGCGACGAUCAGUAGCUGGUCUGAGAGGAUGAUCAGCCACAUUGGGACUGAGACACGGCCCAAACUCCUACGGGAGGCAGCAGUGGGGAAUAUUGGACAAUGGGCGCAAGCCUGAUCCAGCCAUGCCGCGUGAGUGAUGAAGGCCUUAGGGUUGUAAAGCUCUUUCGUCCGGGACGAUAAUGACGUUACCGACAGAAUAAGCACCGGCUAACUUCGUGCCAGCAGCCGCCGUAA